rnacentral:rRNA from 1 species
AUUGAACGCUGGCGGCAGGCCUAACACAUGCAAGUCGAACGCGUGGCGGACGGGUGAGUAAUGUCUGGGAAACUGCCCGAGGGAGGGGGAUAAGUACCGGAAACUGUAGCUAAUACCGCAUUCCAGAGGAUGUGCCCAAAUGGGAAUGGCUAGUAGGUGGGGUAACGGCUCACCUGGGUGACGAUCCGUAGCUGGUCUGAGAGGAUGACCAGCCCCACUGGAACUGAUCCCCUGUCCAGACUCCUACGGGAGGCAGCGGUGGGGAAUAUUGCACAAUGGGCGCAAGCCGGAUGCAUCCAUGCCGCGUGUAUGAAGGAGGCCUUCGGGUUGUAAAGUACUUUCAGCUAGGAGGCGUUACUCGCAGAAGAAGCACCGGCUAACUCCGUGCCAGCAGCCGCGGUAAUUC